rnacentral:rRNA from 1 species
AGGGUUUGAUCCUGGCUCAGAUUGAACGCUGGCGGCACGCUUUACACAUGCAAGUCGAACGGUCAAAAUUUGGGGGGCUUGCCCCCAUAAGACGAGUGGCGGACGGGUGAGUAAUGCAUGGGAAUGUACCCAGCAGCGGGGGAUAACCCUGGGAAACCAGGGCUAAUACCGCAUGCGCUCUACGGAGGAAAGCGGGGGCUCUUCGGACCUCGCACUGUUGGAGCAGCCCAUGUCCGAUUAGCUUGUUGGCGGGGUAACAGCCCACCAAGGCGACGAUCGGUAGCUGGUCUGAGAGGAUGAUCAGCCACACCGGGACUGAGACACGGCCCGGACUCCUACGGGAGGCAGCAGUGGGGAAUAUUGGACAAUGGGGGCAACCCUGAUCCAGCGAUGCCGCGUGAGUGAAGAAGGCCUUCGGGUUGUAAAGCUCUUUCGCAGGGGAAGAAACAGUCGGGAAUAAUACGCCCGGCGAAUGACGGUACCCUGAGAAGAAGCACCGGCUAACUUCGUGCCAGCAGCCGCGGUAAUACGGGGGGUGCAAGCGUUAAUCGGAAUUACUGGGCGUAAAGCGUGCGUAGGCGGUUGUGCAAGUCAGAUGUGAAAGCCCCGGGCUUAACCUGGGAAUUGCGUCCGAAACUGCGCGACUAGAGUUCGGCAGAGGAAGGUGGAAUUCCGCGUGUAGCGGUGAAAUGCGUAGAGAUGCGGAAGAACACUAAUGGCGAAGGCAUCCUUCUGGGCCGAUACUGACGCUGAGUCACGAAAGCGUGGGGAGC